UUUACCAUACUUAACUGAGAUUACUUUAUAAAAAUAGAUGAUAACUCUCAAGGGUCAUUAGGAACCAGAUGUAACAGGGCUUAGCUAAUGAUGGGCUCUCCAGAACUCGGGCUGUUUCUACUCCUCUCAUGAAACAGCCAGGUGCUAUUCUCAGAGCUGGCAGCUGACUGCUGUUAGGAAAGGAAGUUGCUGGCAAGGCAGGGUUGGCAACUGGUGACUCAAUUGUCAGGGGCACAGUGGAAAAGGAACAUGGGUGCGUACCCAGAAAGACCCAGGUGUUUCUCACUGCUGGAUCCAUUGAAAGAUGGAUCCUUAUUUCUUGUAUCUCUGUGUACUUGGCAUCUGGAAAUGUUCAAAACCAACAGCAGCUGACCCCUGGUGAUUGAUGACUUUUGGAUGGGAGAAAGACUGACAUCCAGCAACUGGUCAAGAUAAGAGCUGUAUGAAGACUGUGCCCCAGGAGGAAGCAGUCGCUGCAGAUCAGCUGCUGCACAGUGCCAUGACUGCAAGAAAGCCUGUUAGACUUCACACCCUAACUUUUAUUUUACGCACUCUCCACGACAAUGUAACCGACUCUCUUGCCCGGUCUUAUCUGGCCUUCUAUGCCUGCACGGUGGUUAGGAAAGGAAGCCAGGAAGAAUAGCUGUGAGGUGCCUCAGCCUGAUUUGAGCGGCGAGCAGCUGUCAGGCAGCAGAGACGCGGCUGCUGCUGUGGGCCGGGGCAGCAGGAGCAGUUCAGCCGAACGUGUCAGAGCGCAGUGCGGCAGUGGCCGAGGAAAGCCAUCGCUGUGGGCCACGGUUCCCCGACGGGACAGGGCCCUUCCAGGGCAGCGCCAGCGCCUCAGCCACGGCUCCCGCCAGCGCCACCUGCUGCUCCGAGCCGUCUGCCGCAGCGCGACAAUUCACUGACAAACGCACCAAAACACAGCGACAAAACUAACAGGCUGCAGUACUUGGAGUGUUUUUUCCUUAAGCUCUCUCCAAUAAUAAUCCUUCGUAGGAGGUGAGGAGUACACUGUGGUUUACUUGCACAAAAUACACUUGUGUAUGCACACGUGGAGGGAGGAGUGGUGCCUGACGGCUUGAAGGCUAUUACUGCCAAUUGGAACUAGCCAACACAGAAAAGAAAUAUGCAUUUUGCAUGGAUGAUGUAAUUCAUGCAAGUGAAAAUAAAAGGUUAAAGGCAGCUGUGGUAGGGUUUUUUUCUGUGAUUAUUUUUUUUUUAAUUUUCUAAAGAAAGAACUUCAAAAGUUCAAGCAUUUUGCAAGUUUGCAGUCCUGACUUACACAAAUUGUGAUGUUUUUACAUUUACAGGUAUAUUGCUAUUGAAUUCACCGCUAGUAUUCUGCUUAUGAAUGCAUGGAUCCAUACCCUGGGUCUCUUCAAUGCUUAUAUCGAUCAGUUCAGAUACUUUUUAUAAAAGCUGGUAGUUCUUGUUACCUCAAGACUGAAUGGUAUGACUGGAAUGCUAUGCAACUUUAAGUCAUAAUAUGAGCAGAUUUGCAAUGAUAUGCAUAUUCAGACUAAAAACCAAAAAAAUCUCUUAUUACCGGUUAUAUUGUUUGACAGUUAAAGGUAGCAUGUUUAAGACUUGCAGCACUUGCUACUGAUUUUCAGCUGUAAAAAGAAUUUAAUAGAACAGAUGAUGGUAAAAAUAAAUUAUCACAAACAGGAGAAAAAUCACUUAAAAAUAAACACAUACCAAGCAUUUAUUAAAAGGUAAAUAUAUUUCAGAGCAGAAUGAGUAACUGAAAGAUUGCUUUUCUGACUUGGAGAAAGACUAUACAAAAGAUAAAAGAAAGCAGCAACCAACCUCUUCUGAGCCUAUACCUACAAUAUAUAUUGUAUCCUGACAUGUCUACACUGACUACUUAGAACUCAGUUUUCAGGUAUAGAUCAUCAGUACAUUUUUGGUAACUAUUAUAACUUCCAUAAAUGAGUUCUAAAGAAACUAGUGCAGAAUUAUAGAUUUAAUUAAUCUUCCCACACCAUCCCUUGUAAGAAUGUAGGUUUUAAGACUUACUGAAUUCAAAAUAAACCAAACAAACCCAACACAGGCAGCAGCAAUUUCAGAAAAUUAAAACUUAUUUCUGAAACAGCUGCAUUGUAGGAUUAGCUUACUAUACUAAAUGAAGUAAAACACUAGUAUAUACAUAAUUUUGACAGUGAGAUGAGAAAACAAUGGAAUUCAGUCAAUUUUUAUUCUCCUGGGAUACAAAUUUCUUAAAUUUCCAGCUGAAUUAUUUUACAGUAAGAAUGAAAAAUGCUACGAGUAUCCAAGUUGCAUCAACAUGCAUUGUCCUUAGGGUUUUUCCUGCCCUGUGAUAACUUGCUUUACAAACCAGAUGUUAGAUGACUUUUAUCAUGCACAGUGGCUUACAUUAGGCAGUCAUUAUCUAGGUGGCAUAUAUUAUGACUAUCUCUGUAAACAGCGUGUGGACAAAACAAACUUGUUUUAAUAAAUGGUGUCUACCACCGUCAAUUGAUUUUUCUUCUGAGGAAUACAGUCUAAACAAAGCUCAAGGUUUAUAGAAAUACUUACAUAGCAUCUCCAAUACUCAUAUCAAAUUUAAAUUUAUUAUAAAAUGUUAUCAAUAAUUUAAAAAUUAUUCUAGUACUCUAGUAAUAUAAGUACUCUGAGUCACAUGUCAGUAGGUAGCAGUGGUAUUAGGUCUCAGCAGUUCUUUCACUUUUCACUACUUAGGUUCAUAUAUCACAGCACCAUUCUUUUUGAACAAUAUUAUUCCCAAAUGGAUCAUAUCACUGCAUGGCUCUUGAGCCUAUCCAGUGACAAUGUCCUGCAAAAGCAUCAUUAGGGGGAAUUCAUCUUCCUUCCAUUCCCCUUUUAGUGAUUCCAGUUUACUCAGACUCAAACCUUUCUUCAGCUCUGUAUAGGCAUAACUACAUAUGAAGGAGUUGCAAAUACCAACCACUUGGAUUCCUGAAUAUGGAUGUUACACAUUACAUACUGCUCUACUUUUCACUCUACUGGGAGGUCAAUCUGCCAGAGUAACGCCACAGUUACUAUAACAACUAGUUACCAGCAACAAGACAAGAAUAAAGAAGUGGUGUGUGAUUGCUGCCAGUGGUAUCUUCAUCUAUGGCACAAAUGCUCUUAUGCCCAAUAAAACAAGAACACAUUCUCACCAGAGACUUCCAGGUAAAAGAUAAUAAUAAUACACACCCCCUGCAACACCUCUAACAGUCAUACUCACAGAAUAGGUUCCUUUAUUUCUUAGGUAAGUAGAUAAAUAGCAGUUACCUUGCUUCUUAUUAAUUUCCUCAUUUCCCUCCAGGUAAACUCCAACACUGCAAAAAUCCAUGCAUUUCUUUCCUUCUUUAACACAACAAAAAGUGCACUGUCCAGAGACAGUUGAGUGGUUGAAAUGUUUCCUGUAAACGCAGAAACUGCUUUGAAGUUGAUUUUAAUUUGUUGUUGUUGAGCUUGGAUACAAAGUCUCUUUCAUGUAAUUAAGGCUCUCACUUCAGGAGCAGAUUGGAGAAAUAGACAAAUGUAACUACAUAUUUGUCCAGUUUCCUGGAAAACAAAUCUGAGAGAGGAAGUCUCAGUUUAAGAUGUUCUGCCAGUCUGGUUCCAAUAAGCUCUAUGUUAUUAUGUUUCUUAUUCUAAUAAAAAAAAAUACAAUAAAAAGAUCCAAAAUCAAAGAGUGAGGAACAAGCUGCUGAAAAAAAACCCCAAGAUUUUAACAACUUUGUUUAUGAAACAGAUAACAAAAAAUACUGUUACUCUCCUAAGAAGAUUUUUUUCUUAUGUUAACUCCAUAUUUUAAUAAAUAUUGGCUACUGCUCACAGGUGAAUGUUUUUGAAAUAUUUAGGCAAUAUUUUUCAUUCUAGUUUGUGAACACCUGUUUUCUGCUGAACUGAUAAAAGGCUCAGCAAAGAGUAAUCAAAAAUUAAGUCUAUUGGCAGUACAACUAUUUGCUGUAUAGGAAUCAGCAACUAAAAAGCAAUCUUGUCUGCGGCUUGAAAAACCCAGUAGACUCAACAUUACUCUCAGUUUA